GACGGACUGAAGGCUCUUUCUCGAUUCCGUGGAAAGUGGUGCAUGGCCGUUUUUGGUUGGUGGAUCGAUCCGUCUGGUUAAUUCCGUUAACGAACGAGACCUCGGCACUCCGAAUAGCGCGGCGGACGUCGCGGCCUCCGGGCCGUCUUCCGCACGAGCUUCUUAGAGGGACCGUCCCCCGCCGGGGAAGGAGGUGCGAGGCAACGACAGGUCUGUGAUGCCCUUAGAUGUUCUGGGCCGCACGCGCAUUACACUGACGCGUCCAACGGGUGACUCCCGACCCGAAGGGGCCGGGGAAUCCGCAAGGCGCGUCGUGAUGGGGAUUGAACGUUGCAAUUGUUGUUCACGAACGAGGAAUUCCUAGUAGGCGCGGGUCAUCAACCCGCGCCGAUUACGUCCCUGCCCUUUGUACACACCG
rnacentral:rRNA from 1 species